rnacentral:rRNA from 1 species
GAUGAACGCUGGCGGCGUGCCUAAUACAUGCAAGUCGAGCGAACGGACGAGAAGCUUGCUUCUCUGAUGUUAGCGGCGGACGGGUGAGUAACACGUGGAUAACCUACCUAUAAGACUUGGAUAACUUCGGGAAACCGGAGCUAAUACCGGAUAAUAUUUUGAACCGCAUGGUUCAAAAGUGAAAGACGGUCUUGCUGUCACUUAUAGAUGGAUCCGCGCUGCAUUAGCUAGUUGGUAAGGUAACGGCUUACCAAGGCAACGAUGCAUAGCCGACCUGAGAGGAGGAUCGGCCACAAUGGAACUGAGACAAGGUCCAGAAUCCUACGGGAGGCAGCAGUAGGGAAUCUUCCGCAAUGGGCGAAAGAAUGACGGAGCAACGCCGCGUGAGUGAUGAAGGUCUUCGGAUCGUAAAACUCUGUUAUUAGGGAAGAACAUAUGUGUAAGUAACUGUGCACAUCUUGACGGUACCUAAUCAGAAAGCCACGGCUAACUACGUG